CCGAGCGAGGCGGGGCCCGGGGGGGGGGGAGGGAGGCCCCAAGGCGCGGCCCAGGGCUCCCGGGCUCUCCCUGGCCGAGGGCCAACUUCCAUUUCCGGGAAGGCCCGGACCUUCCGCGGGCAAGGGAGACGUGGCUGGGGCACAGCUGCCUCCGGGGCCGUGGCCCGUGCACCGCGGGGCCUGCGGCUGCAAGCGCUCCUCAGUGCUUGUCACUUCUCCGGGCCGCGGGCGGAAAGCCGCCCGCCAGGCCCCGGUUAGCCAGGCCCCGGUUAGCCAGGCCCCGGUUAGCCAGGCCCCGGUUAGCCAGGCCCCGGUUAGCCAGGCCCCGGUUAGCCAGGCCCCGGUUAGCCAGGCCAAAGGCUCGUCCGGAACCAGGCCCACCCCGAGCCGCCGGGCCCGCCCCUCAACCGCGUCGUUCCCUUCAUGACCCGGCGUGAGCCUGCUUUCCCGCCGAUUCCCCCAAACUCUGCUUCACUCCCCGCGAAGUCCGGACUUCUCCGUCUCGCGUCUGGCCUCGGCGUUUUAAUCAGACUCCUCCCCCCCAAGUGGGCAGGUGAAAGAGAAGAUUCUUUCCUCAAUUGGUACCUAGCCUUAAUCACUGAAUAAGUGUGGCCGCAGUCCUGUUGAAGAUCUUCAUUUAAGAAUGUCAAGGUCUCCCACUGCAUCCAGGGCCAUCUCCAGUCAUCCUGAUCUCUAUCUGGCCACUGGACCAGUGGAUGACCCAGAGUUUUUUGCUAGACCUGUACUUACAACCAUCACAUUUUGUGGUUCUUCUACCUCAAAAGCCUAUCAAGACCUCAGGAGGAAGUCUCUUUUACUGAACCUGGAAGAAUAAGAAUUCUGAAAUGAUAGCUAGUAAUUCUGUAAUGUUUUAAGAUUUGCAAAGUUCUUUAUAAAAUACCAUCUCAUGUGA